rnacentral:lncRNA from 1 species
AAAAAAAAAAAAAAAAUGGAAACUUUUAAUGAAGUAAUUUAUAUAUAAAAUUUUAAUUCACUAAAAACAUUUAAAGUAAUUUUAAAUCAAACUUGAAAAUAGUUAACCAUUAAAAAUUAACCAAUGAAAACUUUUAUGCAAUGGAAGGAGUGAAAAAAGAAACAAUCGGAAGUCCCAAGGAUGGGAAUAAAUUAAACAUCAUUUCAAAGGCUAAGGUAAAUGAACCUUGGAAGCCCACGCGAUCUGACUCUAUAUAUACAUGAACUCGAGCCCAAAAACGCGGCAACAACAAAACAAGCUCUAGGAAUGAAUAUUGGUCCACCAAACAUGCAAGCAGCAUGCUAUUAGGAAGACGAGGCAAUCUGCACCGGUAAUUAUUGCAAAAAUCAAAAGGUAUUAUUGUUUCAUC